GGCACGGUAGCGGAUGGUUUCCGCACCUGCGUUCAAUAAGUCUGGAUUGGAUUUCCCGCAGGGAACCGCUCGUUCGAAUCGAGCCCGGGCCA